GCCCCUGUAGCUCAGGUGGAUAGAGCAUCAGAUUCCUAAUCUGAGGGCCGCAGGUUCAAAUCCUGCCGGGGGCA
rnacentral:tRNA from 1 species